UGUGCUUGAACACCAGCUCUGAAGAAGACUUCAGUCCUCAGCACGGUGCAAUCAGAUGGUUCCAGACUAUAACUUGUGGUCCACGGUGAUCUCCUCAACCUUCUGCACUGCUGAAUGGACAUCUCCCAGGCUGUGACUAAGUGUUCCCAGUUCACUCAUCCAUCUCUGUGCUGUCCGCUAGCACUGAGCCUCUACCUGCUGUUUAUCAUCGGGGCCAUACCCUUGUAUAUGUGGCAGCUGC